AGAGUUUGAUCCUGGCUCAGGACGAACGCUGGCGGCGUGCUUAACACAUGCAAGUCGAGCGAUGAAGCUUUCUUCAGAAAGUGGAUUAGCGGCGGACGGGUGAGUAACACGUGGGUAACCUGCCUCAUAGAGGGGAAUAGCCUUUCGAAAGGAAGAUUAAUACCGCAUAAGAUUGUAAUACCGCAUGGUAUAGCAAUUAAAGGAGCAAUCCGCUAUGAGAUGGACCCGCGUCGCAUUAGCUAGUUGGUGAGGUAACGGCUCACCAAGGCGACGAUGCGUAGCCGACCUGAGAGGGUGAUCGGCCACAUUGGGACUGAGACACGGCCCAGACUCCUACGGGAGGCAGCAGUGGGGAAUAUUGCACAAUGGGGGAAACCCUGAUGCAGCAACGCCGCGUGAGUGAUGACGGUCUUCGGAUUGUAAAGCUCUGUCUUUAGGGACGAUAAUGACGGUACCUAAGGAGGAAGCCACGGCUAACUACGUGCCAGCAGCCGCGGUAAUACGUAGGUGGCAAGCGUUGUCCGGAUUUACUGGGCGUAAAGGGAGCGUAGGUGGAUAUUUAAGUGGGAUGUGAAAUACCCGGGCUUAACCUGGGUGCUGCAUUCCAAACUGGAUAUCUAGAGUGCAGGAGAGGAAAGGAGAAUUCCUAGUGUAGCGGUGAAAUGCGUAGAGAUUAGGAAGAAUACCAGUGGCGAAGGCGCCUUUCUGGACUGUAACUGACACUGAGGCUCGAAAGCGUGGGGAGCAAACAGGAUUAGAUACCCUGAUAGUCCACGCCGUAAACGAUGAAUACUAGGUGUGGGGGUUGUCAUGACCUCCGUGCCGCCGCUAACGCAUUAAGUAUUCCGCCUGGGGAGUACGGUCGCAAGAUUAAAACUCAAAGGAAUUGACGG
rnacentral:rRNA from 1 species